GACUAAGCCAUGCGAGUCGAGAGGGUUCGGCCCUCGGCAGACUGCUCAGUAACACCUGGAUAAUCUACCCUUAGGUGGAGGAUACUCUCGGGAAACUGAGAAUAAUACUCCAUAGAUCCAGGAUGCUGGAAUGCACCUAGAUUGAAAGUUCCGGCGCCUAAGGAUGAGUCUGCGGACUAUCAGGUAGUAGUCAGGGUAAAGACCUGACUAGCCUACGACGGAUACGGGUUGUGAGAGCAAUAGCCCGGAGACGAUAUCUGAGACACGAUAUCGGGCCCUACGGGGCGCAGCAGGCGCGAAAUCUUCACAAUGUGCGAAAGCACGAUGAGGGGACCCCAAGUGUUGGUUCGUAAGAAUCAUCUGUUUCUUUGUCUAAAAAACAGAGAGAGUAAGAGCUGGGUAAGACGGGUGCCAGCCGCCGCGGUAAUACCUGCAGCUCAAGUGGUGGCCGCUAUUAUUGGGCCUAAAACGUCCGUAGCCGGUUUAGUAAAUGCUUGGGUAAAUUGUGUAGCUCAACUAUACGAAUACCGAGUAGACUGCUGAACUUGGGACCGGGAGAGGCUAGAGGUACUCCUAGGGUAGAGGUGAAAUUCUGUAAUCCUAGGGGGACCACCAGUGGCGAAGGCGUCUAGCUAGAACGGGUCUGACGGUGAGGGACGAAGCCCUGGGGCGCAAACCGGAUUAGAUACCCGGGUAGUCCAGGGUGUAAACGCUG
rnacentral:rRNA from 1 species